GCGGGUGCAGCAUCAUCCAGAUUCACAGGUUUUAUUACUGACAUCCUCAUUUGAAUCUUUGAGAUGUCAUGAUGAUCCGAGUUGAGAAUCUUGAUGAUGCUGCAUCAGC
rnacentral:pre_miRNA from 1 species